UACGGGGGGGGCAAGCGUUGUCCGGAUUUACUGGGCGUAAAGAGCGCGCAGGCGGUCGUUCAAGUCGAGUGUGAAAGCCCCCGGCUCAACUGGGGAGGGUCACUCGAUACUGAUCGACUCGAAGGCAGGAGAGGGAAGUGGAAUUCCCGGUGUAGUGGUGAAAUGCGUAGAUAUCGGGAGGAACACCAGUGGCGAAGGCGACUUCCUGGCCUGUUCUUGACGCUGAGGCGCGAAAGCUAGGGGAGCAAACGGG
rnacentral:rRNA from 1 species